UUCUUGCUCAGGGUUUACAUGU
rnacentral:miRNA from 1 species